rnacentral:sRNA from 2 species
ACAUAUCUAUAUAUAUACUAGUAUAUGUGUACUCCGUGUAGCUGGGGACGGAUUCCCAGCUUGUAUUCAGCAUUGAUAGCUUCUGUCUUCUGCCCUUCUUCUGCUAGAUAAAUAUUCCAUAUCGCGCGCUAGUACAUGCAGCUAGCGUCCGUCGGCCAAAAAGUUAUUCUGUCUCUCUCCUGUGUGACUUUCAAAGCCCCCGUCGCAGCAGCCUUUUACAUCUACCACCAAUCACCAGAGCAUAUAGGCUUCAGGAACAAACCUCUCAUCUCCUAAUCGCCGCCUUCCGCCCCAGCAAUUCCAACAAGACCAAUAUCCCAGGAGAGCAAGAAGAAUAUCACGAAUAUCACCCCGGAAAUGGACCACGAACCGCCAAUCCUGCGUCCCCGUGCCCGAAAACCUUUUGAGCUCGCCUCCUCUUCCACCGAAACCUCUGAGUCCCCGACCCCCAUUCUAGAAAGCUCAAGCUCCACUACCGCCACGAUGGCCAACAAUACCAACCAAGACUCCCUUGACCCUUCUGCUGCCUCUUCAUCCAAAGACUCCCUCGCUGCCAGCCGCACCCGCUCAAUCCUUAACCUCACCUCGUCCACCCUCCUUGGAAUCUACUCGCCCUCUACCCUCGAUAGUCCCCGCUAUGAGCUCUCCGCCUGGGACGCCGCCGUUGCCAGCGGCACCCAAACACCCACCACUUCAUAUAGCCCAUAUCCCCAGCGCUUCUCCCAGGCUACCACCACGACAACUGCCAGAGCUAGAACACCAACCGCAAGCAUAACCAAAACGAUUAACCCCUCUUCCACUUCCUCCAGACGCACCAGAUUCAUGCGAACACCUCGCCGCCGGCGCACCCUACGUACCUUCUACCUCCCACUCCUCCUUCGCAGCGCCCUCCUGUUCGUCUUCGGCGUCGUCUACGGCACCAUCAUCACCCACCUGCACGACAACCCGCGUGUGACGCCCAUAA